UUUCACAGUCGAUAAACUUUUUGCUUAGGUAAAUUGCAUGCUCUUUUCGACAAGACUCGUCAUGCUGACACAAUACGCACCUCAUAGACCCCUUGAGGGCUGUCAAGUACCAGGUUAACAGUUGUUUCUUCCAAGGAAGAUAUCAGAAUCAGAGGUUCCUGUUACUCAUUUUUUUCCAUGCCCCUUGGCAGUCCCCAUCCCACCUGACCAUUUGAUUUCUUUCUUUUUUUGUUUGUUUUUGGUUCAGGCGUUUCUUGCACUAUUCUUUCUUUUCCUUUUCUUUUUUCUUUUUCUUUUUUUUUCCUUUUUUUUAGCAGGAUCGACCUCGACUCCUCUUUCGUUCACAAUAAGCCUCAGCAACUUACCGGACAACACUCCACAAGUGCAUUGGUUCGGACUCAACCUCAGUCUGAGUAGUUUCGAUCCGGUCAAACAAUUUGCCCCAGAUCCACCGGAUGCCCCUCUUCGGCUUGGGACUUUG
rnacentral:lncRNA from 1 species